GGAUAAACGCUGAAGGCAUCUAAGCGUGAAGCCCCCCUCAAGAUAAGAUAUCCCAAUCCUAGAGAUUGUAAGACCCCUUGAAGAACACGAGGUAGAUAGGACAGAGGUGGAAGUGCAGUAAUGUAUGCAGCUGACUGUUACUAAUAGGUCGAGGGCUUAUCCUAAA
rnacentral:rRNA from 1 species